rnacentral:rRNA from 1 species
CCGGAUAAGUCUUUACGGAGAAAGCUUUAUGCACCAUUGGAUGAGCCUGCACUUGAUUAGUUUGUUGGUGGGGUAAUGGCCUACCAAGACUGUGAUCAAUAGCUGAUUUGAGAGGAUGAUCAGCCACAUUGGGACUGAGACACGGCCCAAACUCCUACGGGAGGCAGCAGUGGGGAAU